UACCUGGUUGAUCCUGCCAGUAGUCAUAUGCUUGUCUCAAAGAUUAAGCCAUGCAUGUCUAAGUACAUGCCGUAUCAAGGCGAAACCGCGAAUGGCUCAUUAAAUCAGUUAUGGUUCCUUGGAUCGUACUUUACUACUUGGAUAACUGUGGCAAUUCUAGAGCUAAUACAUGCAGCAGAGCUCCGACCUUCGGGGACGAGCGCUUUUAUUAGAACAAAACCCAUCGGACCUCGUGUCCGUCUCUUGUGGUGACUCUGUAUAACUUUGGGCUGAUCGCACGGGCCUGUCCCGGCGACGUAUCCUUCAAGUGUCUGCCUUAUCAACUUUCGAUGGUAGGUUACGCGCCUACCAUGGUCGUAACGGGUAACGGGGAAUCAGGGUUCGAUUCCGGAGAGGGAGCCUGAGAAACGGCUACCACAUCCAAGGAAGGCAG
rnacentral:ncRNA from 1 species